CCCGCAGCGCAGCAGUCAGGAGCGGGCGGGGCGUGCGCGCGUGUCUUCCCCCGGACCUGGCAGGCACGUGUGCAGAGGAUGGCCUCAACCAGGUCUGCGUGCAGCUCAAGCUGCAACACAACGUAGCCGGUCCAGCCUGGCCUGUCCUUCCUCGAAGGGAAAGCAACAACUGAAGCACAGCCAGGGGGCUACAUUCAGAAAGUGAAAAUGAUUCAAGGAUUCAACUUGGACUUUCCCAGAGACUGAUUUAUUGUCCAGAGACAGUGUUGCCAACUCAGGCAGUCGGCAAUACUGAGAUAAAUCUAAAAAUGCUGAUGGCAAAUAGCCUGAAAUUGUAAUUGAUGAUGCUGGCCUGUGCUUGUGGGUUCAGAGGUGGUGUUACAAAGUGAGACAAGGCUGCAGCAAUUCCAACCAUUUCUGGAUCUUUUUUUCAUCCUUCCCCAUUUCUUUUUGCAGCCGAAAGCUAGGGGGAGAGGGUGGCAGAGAUAUUGUUAAUGCUUUGGAAAAGAAGCUUAAGAAAUGUUUCUUGCUGAAAGCAAAACGGUGAAUUACCACAUGCUUGUGUUAAUAUUGUAGGUCAGACCCUGCCCCCCCCAAGGAACCCAGUACCAGAUAGAAGGAUUUACACUAGCUUGUAAACAUUUUUCUUAGCAGAUUUAAAGCUCUACUUGUAUAGUGUGUGUGCUACAAAUUUUUUUACAGCAGCAUUUUAAGUUGAAACAAUCUCCAGCCAAAUCUGAAAUGCUUUUUAAACCCUUUUAAGUGUGUUUGUGUCCAUAUCCAUAUGCAUGUCCAUGUUACAUUCUUACAAUAUAAUAAAGUAUUCAUUUAUUUCAAACAUAAA